GAUGAAGAACGCAGUGAAAUGCGAUAAGUAAUGUGAAUUGCAGAAUUCAGUGAAUCAUCGAAUCUUUGAACGCAUCUUGCGCUCCUUGGUAUUCCGAGGAGCAUGCCUGUUUGAGUGUCAUUUAACUUCUCAACCACAUUGGAUAUUUUUUUUCCGAUGCCGGCUUGGAUGUGGGGGUUGUUUGCAGGCUUUUUGUAACAAAAAAGGUCGGCUCCCCUGAAAUGUAUUAGUGGUAUCUGAGGCUAUUACUAUUAGGUGUGAUAAUUAUCUAUGCCUUUUGGGUAUGCCGCAUGAACAGAUUAUGCUGCUUCUAACGAAAACUAUUUUGAUGAAUUUGACCUCAAAUCAGGUAGGACUACCCGCUGAACUUAAGCAUAUCAUAGCGGAGGA
rnacentral:misc_RNA from 1 species